AGUGAACGCUGGCGGCGUGCUUAACACAUGCAAGUCGAACGAGAACGGGUUAUAGCUUGCUAUAAUUGUCAGCUAAGUGGCGCACGGGUGAGUAUGUAUAGGUAAUAUGCCUCUUACUAAGGGAUAACAAAUGGAAACGUUUGCUAAUACCUUAUACUCCUUAUUAACAUAAGUUAAUAAGGGAAAGAUUUAUUGGUAAGAGAUUAGCCUGUAUUGUAUUAGUUAGUUGGUGGGGUAAUGGCUUACCAAGACUAUGACAAAUAACUGGUUUGGGAGGAUUAUCAGUCACACUGGAACUGAGACACGGUCCAGACUCCUACGGGAGGCAGCAGUGGGGAAUAUUGCACAAUUGACGAAAGUCUGAUGCAGCCACGCCGGGUGGAGGAAGACACAUUUCGGUGCGUAAACCCCUUUUAUAUGAGAAGAUAAUGACGGUAUUAUAUGAAUAAGCACCGGCUAACUCCGUGCCAGCAGCCGCCGUAA
rnacentral:rRNA from 1 species